UGAGAAAUGCCCAAUUCUCUCAGGAAACAUGUGUGUUUUAUGGAGUGCGAUGACAGCUAUCUUCCACACACACACACACACAGGGGAAAUUAGAAAGCAUAGUAUUUUCAUUAAUUUUGUUAAAAUUAAAAAAGAGAAUUUACAUAUCCAUUGCCAGUGGCAAAGCUAUGUGAGGGCAAGGAGUGGUGGCCACCACUCUCCUCGCCGAAAAAUAAGACUGGAGCAGUGGUUCAGCCCCUUCCCUCGCCGGAAAACUCAGCCCCAGUGCCCCUCCCAUGGCUGAUUUCUGGUGUUCUGCUGCUGCUGCGCAGAAUUGAAUCUGAUUACCAAUUUUAUUUUAUUUUUUUAAAUCUAGGCCAAAAUGACGUUGUUUUGGUCUUGUAACAAAAAAAAUCAAACGAAACAACGCCAUUUCGUAUAUGUUUGAAGAAAAAAUAUAUGUAUAAAUAUCCCCCUUUCCCCAUUCUCUAUCUUCUUCAGUAAGAGGCUUUGCCAAUCAGAGACAGAGAGCAAAGUGCUCUUCCCCCCCCCCCCCAAAUUCCCAGCAGCAAGUUCCAUUUGGCUUUUUGCUUCCACGCCAGCCACUCCUCCAAGCUCCAACCACUCUUUAGCCGCCAGCUGCAGCCAUUCUUUAGGUGAGGCUAUAAAAGAUGAAAUUACCAUCAGGAGAAGCUUCCUUUUAUAAGUCUUGAAUGGAAGUAGAAAGAAAUAAUUCAUAUUGCACAUCAUGCCGAAGCUCAUACAUAUUCUCAUGAACACACAUCAAUUUCGUUUUAAAAAAUUACACAUGGAUUUCAAGAGAAUCUAAUAAUCCACCAAUAAACUAAUCUCAAGCAAAAGAGUUCAGCCAUAAAUUUUACCUCCAUAGUAAUAGGCAGUAGGUAGAUAAGCGUUCAGGAGAUAGCAUAUAGCGGAUGUACGAAAUCAUGUAACAAAGGGGUAACAGAGUGCUUGAUGGGAUAUGUCCAUUUGCAUUAUUGAUUUACUGUGUGAUUCCAAGGUCUUUUUGGUUCAGCAUAGAGAAGAUCAAAUAAAACUCCAGAUUACCUGUUGUUGGAAACAAAUAAUAAAUAUACAGGGAAUUUUAUAGAAAAUCCAGUUCAUAUAGCCUCAACUCAGCAUCACACAGAAGAAUGUUAAACAUGCAACACGGAAACGAAUCAAUUCCCUAAACUUUCGAAAUUGGGGAUGAUCUGAAUAUGGAAUAAAACCUAGAAUAACUUACCAUGAGUACAGAAGGUUUUAGAAAACGAUUAAAGCCCGUAACGCGGCAGUGGCCUCUACUGGUCGCGGUGGUUCCGCUGCAAGAGAGAGUAAUUGAAAUAUGCAGAACAAAAAACCAUAGAAACAACAGAAAGAAAAACUCAAAAUUUUUAGUAAAAUUAAGAACAAAAAUCACUAAUCACACAACCAAAAUUAAUAGAAAUAAAAAAUCAGUAUGCACGAAAGACCAUAAUAAUCUUUGAGGGGGAGG